GCACGGGUGAGUAACACGUGAAUAAUCUACCUCCGAGUGGGGAAUAACUGAGAGAAAUCUUAGCUAAUACCGCAUAACACUUACGAGUCAAAGCAGCAAUGCGCUUGGAGAGGAGUUCGCGGCCGAUUAGUUAGUUGGCGGGGUAAUGGCCCACCAAGACGAUGAUCGGUAUCCGGCCUGAGAGGGCGCACGGACACACUGGAACUGAAACACGGUCCAGACUCCUACGGGAGGCAGCAGUGGGGAAUUUUGCGCAAUGGGGGAAACCCUGACGCAGCAACGCCGCGUGGAGGAUGAAGUAUCUCGGUACGUAAACUCCUUUCGAUCGGGACGAUAAUGACGGUACCGGAAGAAGAAGCCCCGGCUAACUUCGUGCCAGCAGCCGCGGUAAUACGAGGGGGGCGAGCGUUGUUCGGAAUUAUUGGGCGUAAAGGGUGCGUAGGCGGUUUUGUAAGUCUUAUGUGAAAUCUAUGGGCUCAACUCAUAGACUGCAUGGGAAACUGCAGGGCUUGAGUGUGGGAGAGGUGAGUGGAAUUUCCGGUGUAGCGGUGAAAUGCGUAGAGAUGUGGAGGAAUACCGAUG
rnacentral:rRNA from 1 species